AGACCCUUUUCACACAGUAUGUUUUGUUACCUCCCCUUGGUAGAACUCUUUUGCGUUUCGAUCGAAAACGAGGCGACCGGUGUUGACUUGUUUGUUGACAAAGAUCGAGUCGAAGAUUCGCUGUACCGUCUUUGGCAGAUAUGCUGAAAUCCAAUGGGAAGCAGUGUUCUGUUUAUGGAUGCGAUAACUUUGCCUUCAAGAAAGAUGGAACUAGCACAGGAUACAUUUUUUUUCAAAGACUGAAAAAGGUUUUGGAACACAGGAAAUUAAAGCUGUGCUCGUAUUCUUUGAUAAAUAUAUGAAUGGAGCACAUUUCCAUUGGACUUAUAAGUAAAUAUUGGACAUUAAAACCUGACCAGACACCAAAAGUCUUCUCAUGGAUAACUGUACAUACUCCUAGAAAAAGUCCAUUGAAGAGGUCAACAACCAUGAAUGAGACUACCACUGGAAUCGGUUGUGGAUGAUUCUGAGAAUUUGGAUGCUUCUGAAGUACAUGGAUUUGGAGUACGUGGAAAUUGGAAUUCAAGCAGGUCCUGGCACUAGUGAUGUAGCUAUAGGCUGCCAGACAGAUGAUGGUGAUGUGAUAAAUGUCUGUGAUCAUAACCACUCCAGCGACCACAUAAUUGACCACAUUUACAGUUUUCAUGCCGAUGAUGAUGGCGAGAAUGAAAUUGAAAAUCUACAGAUAGAAAUUUAAAAACUGUCAACACAAAUAAAUGAUAUGGAAGAUCGAUUGAAUGAAUAUAUAGGGAAUGGUUUUUCCGUUGAAAAAAAUAAAAAUGACCCAAAAGCAAGGCUUUUUUUAUACAGGAUUUAUUUACUGUUCUAUGUUUGAGUGCAUAUUAAAAUACUUAUCUCCAAAAGCAGAAAACUGUUAUUGGUGAGGUAAAGGUGAAAACAUUGGUCCAAAUAAUGAUGCUAGACAAAAUGAAAAACAACGUCCAACAAGAAAACAUUCAAUGGGGAAGGAUUUUUUGAAGAUUCUUGUUAGACUGAAAGUUGGACUUUUUGUUUGCGACAUUGCAUAUAAAUUUGGUAUAUCGCAGUCUCAGUUUUCUAAAAUGUUUACUACAUGGAUAAUUUUUUUAUAUCUUGAUCUACCAAUGAUGUUUCCAUUUCCAUCACUGGAGCUCGUAAGAAAAAAUCUGCCUGAUAGUUUUGUUUAUGAUCCUUAAACACAAAUUAUCUUAGAUUGUACUGAAAUUUAUGUCACAGACAUGGUCAUCCUAUAAGCACCAUAAUACAUACAAAUUUCUUGUUGGCAUAAGUCCAAAUGGAGUAAUUACAUUUGUUUCUGAUUUGCUGGGAGGUAGAGUGUCAGACAAACAAAUAACAAAAGACAGUGGUGCUCUAACAUUGUUAGAAUGGGGUGAUAAUGUUAUGUGUGAUUGAGGGUUUGAAAUCCAAGAUAUUUUUCCCAAAGGUGUAACUCUGAACAUUCGACCUUUCAAACUUAAUAGGAAACAGCACACAGCCAAGGAGGUAGAUGACACAAUGAAAAUAGCUUGUGAAAGAAUUCAUGUUGAAAGGGAACUUUCGCAUUCUUGAUGGUAUUAUACCUUUAAGCUUGAAACAUGUAUCAAACCAGAAAUUUAUAUUCAUUUCAUACUUAACAAAUUUUUUACCGCCUUUGGUUCUCCAGGUACUGGUACAGAUGAUAUUUAUAACAGAGAAUAAGUAACUCUCCAUUACCUGUAGUGUAUACCUUUUCGUUUGUACAGGUAACUAUCAAUGAACAUUCAUGUACAUGAAAUGAACCGUAAAGAUGAUGUUCUUUCAGAAUUUUGCAUAUAUGGUACAUUUUACAAUGUACUGGGAGUACAGAUAUGUUUCAUUGUUUCCGAAGCAUUUUCAAGUUACAUAAUAUAUAUUGUUGGUAAAUUAUUAGGGCAUUCCUAAUAGCUAUGUUGAAUUCCAAAAUUUUGAUCAUACACUGUAUUUGUUUGCUCAUCUGAGAAAAUAAAAACUUUCGAAUUUUAA